rnacentral:hammerhead_ribozyme from 1 species
GCGCAGCUGAGGAGUCCCACAAUAGGACGAAACGGCCGUUCAAUGC